UAGUGAACCAGUACCGUGAGGGAAAGGCGAAAAGAACCCCGGCGAGGGGAGUGAAAAAGAACCUGAAACCGUGUACGUACAAGCAGUGGGAGCCCCACCACUAAGCCAGUGGUGAACUCCACAUACGCAUCCUUUGCUGAGGAUACGGUUAACGGAGCGCAAGCGACGUUCAACCUCAAAAGAAGCAGAGGGGGCUUAGUGGUGGGGUGACUGCGUACCUUUUGUAUAAUGGGUCAGCGACUUAUAUUCUGUAGCAAGGUUAACCGAAUAGGGGAGCCGGAGGGAAACCGAGUCUUAACCGGGCGUUAAGUUGCAGGGUAUAGACCCGAAACCCGGUGAUCUAGCCAUGGGCAGGUUGAA
rnacentral:rRNA from 1 species